rnacentral:rRNA from 1 species
CUGUUCGCCAUUUAAAGAGGUACGUGAGCUGGGUUUAAAACGUCGUGAGACAGUUUGGUCCCUAUCUUCCGUGGGCGCUGCAGAUUUGAGGAAGCCUGCUCCUAGUACGAGAGGACCGGAGUGGACGCACCUCUGGUGUAUCGGUUGUCACGCCAGUGGCAUUGCCGAGUAGCUAAGUGCGGAAGAGAUAACCGCUGAAAGCAUCUAAGCGGGAAACUCGUUUCAAGAUGAGAUCUGCCGGGGCCUUGAGCCCCCUGAAGAGUCGUUCGAGACCAGGACGUUGAUAGGCCGGGUGUGGAAGCGUAGUAAUGCGUUAAGCUAACCGGUACUAAUUGCUCGUGAGGCUUGACCCUAUAACUUUGAUGG